UGAGGAAUAUUGGUCAAUGGGCGAGAGCCUGAACCAGCCAAGUCGCGUGAAGGAAGACAGUCCUAAGGAUUGUAAACUUCUUUUAUACGGGAAUAACGGGCGAUACGAGUAUUGCAUUGAAUGUACCGUAAGAAUAAGCAUCGGCUAACUCCGUGCCAGCAGCCGCGGUAAUACGGAGGAUGCGAGCGUUAUCCGGAUUUAUUGGGUUUAAAGGUUGCGUAGGUUGUUCGGUAAGUCAGCGGUGAAACCUGAGCGCUCAACGUUCAGCCUGCCGUUGAAACUGCCGGGCUUGAGUUCAGUGGCGGCAGGCGGAAUUCGUGGUGUAGCGGUGAAAUGCAUAGAUAUCACGAGGAACUCCGAUUGCGAAGGCAGCUUGCCAUACUGCGACUGACACUGAAGCACGAAGGCGUGGGUAUCAAACAGG
rnacentral:rRNA from 1 species